GAUGAAGAUCGCAGCGAAAUGCGAUAAGUAAUGUGAAUUGCAGAAUUCAGUGAAUCAUCGAAUCUUUGAACGCACAUUGCGCCCGCCAGCAUUCUGGCGGGCAUGCCUGUUCGAGCGUCAUUUCAACCCUCGAGCCCCCCCGGGGGCCUCGGUGUUGGGGGACGGCACACCAGCCGCCCCCGAAAUGCAGUGGCGACCCCGCCGCAGCCUCCCCUGCGUAGUAGCACACACCUCGCACCGGAGCGCGGAGGCGGUCACGCCGUAAAACGCCCAACUUUCUUAGAGUUGACCUCGGAUCAGGUAGGAAUACCCGCUGAACUUAAGCAUAUCAAUAAGCGGAGGA
rnacentral:misc_RNA from 1 species